UACGUAGGGUGCGAGCGUUGUCCGGAAUCAUUGGGCGUAAAGCGCGUGUAGGCGGUCCGGUAAGUCCGCUGUGAAAGUCGGGGGCUCAACCCUCGAAUGCCGGUGGAUACUGUCGGGCUAGAGUGCGGAAGAGGCGAGUGGAAUUCCUGGUGUAGCGGUGAAAUGCGCAGAUAUCAGGAGGAACACCAAUUGCGAAAGCAGCUCGCUGGGACGUAACUGACGCUGAGACGCGAAAGCGUGGGGAGCAAACAGG
rnacentral:rRNA from 1 species